GUUUGCCUUCUCUUUUAACAUUUUUUUUAUACAUCGGCAUCAGCUGGCCUAAACUGCCGUCUACUGUUUCACCAGCCACCAUAACACCCGCCGUCUCUCCAAACAUGGGCGUCCCAAGAUUCACACGGCCCAAAACACCGGCAACCGAUUCACCAAGUCCUUAUCUCUACGUAGCCAACUGUGGACCAGCGGUUGGGCUUUCUUAUGACACAAUUGCUUCCGUGUUUAACACCUUUGGAGAGGUGAAAGGAAUUUACGCAGCAGAUGAAAGCGGAACACGUGUUAUAGUUUCUUAUUCCGAAGCUAAUUCUGCCCAACAAGCUCUUACUGCACUGAAUGGGAAAUCUUGUGCUGAUCUUGGUGGCAGGUCUUUGCAUAUUCGGUAUUCAGUUAUUCAACCAAAUUGUGAGGCUGAGAGCCAGCAGGUUAAUGAACACAUUCCUGUUUCACUGCUGGACUCGGAGGUUAAUAUUCCUGGGCUUUAUUUGGUUCAUGAUUUUCUCAGUCCUCAGGAAGAAAAGGAGUUACUGGCAGCAGUUGAUGAAAGGCCUUGGAUAAGUCUAUCUAAAAGGAGGGUGCAGCAUUAUGGAUAUGAAUUUUGUUACGGAACAAGGAAUGUUGAUACAAAACUGCAUUUGGGCAAACUUCCAUCAUUUGUUUCUUCGGUACUUGAAAGGAUUUCGUUGUUUCCUGGCCUUAACAGUUCUACAAGCAUACUCUUGGACCAACUCACAGUAAACGAGUACCCACCUGGGGUGGGCUUGUCUCCACACAUAGACACCCAUUCUGCAUUUGAGGGAUUGAUUUUUAGCCUUUCAUUAGCAGGGCCUUGCAUCAUGGAGUUCAGGAGAUACUUGGAUGGUUCAUGGGUUCCUGAUGCUGCCUCUAGUGCUUAUACAAAGGUGGAAAAUGUUGACAACUGCUCAAAUCUAGUAAGGAGGUCUCUCUAUCUUCCUCCUCGGUCCAUUCUUCUGUUAUCUGGGGAAGCACGCUAUGCUUGGCAACAUUACAUUCCACACCAUAAGAUUGACAUGGUGAAUCAGAGUGUGAUCAGAAGGGGUGCAAGAAGGGUAUCAUUUACAUUUCGUAAGUCUUGCCAAGAGAAACUCUGCAACUUGCUUCAAUCAAGUCCUUUAUUGGAAUGACAUGAUAUACUGUACAUAAAAGGUGAGAUGUUAUUGGCCUAUAUGAUAUUCGAAGUUCAACCAAGGAGAUAUAACCUUAAUUCAGGAGUGGCUUCUUGGUGUAGGAAGAGACAACCAACAUUUUUCUUAUCGACUACUGUCACAAAGAAUGAGUAGCAGCAGUGGUGCCAUCGGAAAGUACAUGUUUAAUGCAACUUUUAAAGGAUCUCCAUCAAUCCGUUGGUUAGAUAAUCCCUCUACAUUGCACAUAACAAUAAGUCAACUAUUUAUUUGGCUGAAAAUCUUACAUUUCAUGCAAAAGCAAAGGAUAUGGAAGUGCAUUAACCCUGUUUGAGCAGGUAGGUAUUACAAGGAGAGUUAGAUCUACAAUAAUUUGCCACAAAGAACAAAGUGGCUGGUAAACUCACUGAGGGACACAAUAGUAAGUAACAAGCUUGCGGAGUUUGGAUCAUGGCUCAGAAUUACAAUGAGAAAAUUGUUUUUGAAGGGGUGUGUUGAGGAUCAAGAACAAACCCUUGGUUGAAGAAGCAGCAUUAAAGCUAGCUAGCAAUAAUGAAUUAUGAAACCAAGGUCUGGUCCGUUAUAUAUAAGAGUUAAUUUUAAAAAAAUAUUUAUUGACCAACUUUCUCAUUAUGUAGCUGUAUUUCAAAAGAAGUUGCUCCCAGCCAUAAGGGAAGUCUUCUCCAACGGUACUAAGAGGUCCUUGCCAAUGUGAAUUUCCACAAUACUGUGAUUCAGAAAGAUAGGAGAAGCUGUUGGGUGCCAUUUGAGGUAAUCGACUGAGCUUUUUGACAUAGAGUGUGUUAUAACUAUAUUUAUGAGCGUGUUAUAACAAGACCAAGUCUGAAGAGAAGUCCGCAAAGAAAUUCGGAAGCAUCGAAUAUGAAACUUGGAGUUGAUGUUUUAAUCAUUUUUCUUGCCUUCAAAUUGGAGGCAAUAGGAAACAAUGAAGGAAGCAGAAAGUUGGCGCCAAAAAUGGGACGAGCCAAAGUAGUACGAGUAAUUAAAGCUAACACUUAUCACCUGUAGGACAAGCAAAUAAAAAAUUCCCCCAGUGCGUGGCCCUCCAACCAUUUAAAGGUGUAAUUCUAUUGAAACAUCAGGUUUUAAAUCCUCAUUUUUUUGAUGAAAACUUUCUAGUUUAUGCCUCCAUUAGCAUUGGUGAUGUUUCGCAAUACUAGUUGUUUUAUUUUGGCUAUAGUUCUAGUUUGCCUUGUACUUGUCUGCAUAUUUUAUGUCAUCCAAGUUCUUACAUCACCAUCAUUGUAUCCAAAUUAUUUUUACUCCAUGUUUGGUUUCCUCCAAA